rnacentral:ncRNA from 1 species
AUUUCUCAGGGCGGGGUGAAAGUCCCCACCGGCGGUGAUCCGGCGUUUUCUGCCGGAAGCCCGCGGGCGGUGCUUCAUGGGAAGGAUCGCAGAUCCGGUGCAAUUCCGGGGCCGACGGUAAUAGUCCGGACGAAAGAGAAA